GCCAGACUCCUACGGGAGGCAGCAGUGGGGGAUAUUGCACAAUGGGGGGAACCCUGAUGCAGCGACGCCGCGUGGGUGAAGGAGCGUUUCGGCGCGUAAAGCCCUAUCGGCAGGGAAGAAGGAGGACGGUACCUGACUAAGAAGCCCCGGCUAACUACGUGCCAGCAGCCGCGGUAAUACGUAGGGGGCAAGCGUUAUCCGGAUUUACUGGGUGUAAAGGGGGCGCAGACGGCAGCGCAAGCCAGGAGUGAAAGCCCGGGGCCCAACCCCGGGACUGCUCUUGGAACUGCGCGGCUGGAGUGCAGGAGGGGCAGGCGGAAUUCCUGGUGUAGCGGUGAAAUGCGUAGAUAUCAGGAGGAACACCGGUGGCGAAGGCGGCCUGCUGGACUGCGACUGACGUUGAGGCCCGAAAGCGUGGGGAGCAAACAGGAUUAGAUACCCUAGUAACU
rnacentral:rRNA from 1 species